GCAGCAGUCAGUCAGUCAGAAGAACUCUCUCAGACGGACACCACGUUAUUAAAGUCCAUCAUCCUUUCAUGCGCUACACAGCAUUGAUAAAUGCUGAAUUUAAAAGAAUCACUACUGUCUUAUGUUCCUGUGUCACCUGGACCUCCAAUCCAAAAACCUGAUGAAACUCUUCUAUCAGAAAGGAUGACAGCUAGCAAAAAGACUUCAAACAAUUAAUGAUCAAAUGACAGAAGGCAUGGAUGAAGUCAGCAUCAGUGAGGUCAUUUGAAGACACCAAUGUUGGGAUUUGUGCUCUCAAACAACAUGCUUCUUGUGAUGAAGAAGAGGAUCUUUGUAUAGUCCUGGAAGCCAUGAAGGUGUUGCAACAUCGUGUUUGAGCUGAUGUAUGCCUUAAACCUGAUCUCCGCUUUAUUUUUGAGGAAAUCCAAACUGCAUUGAGAGUAACUUUAACGAACAGUUUCAUUCAGUGAAAGGAUCAGAAAGACUGUGCUGCUCAUUUUUGACUUUUUUAUCUGUUUUAAGUGUUUUCUACAUUAACAGUUUGCUGCUCAGAGUCGAUUUUGGAAAUGGUUGUUGUAUUUUGUUU